rnacentral:rRNA from 1 species
GAGGUUAGCCGUGGCUUAUUCCUGAAGUACUGUCAUAAUUCAUCCUUCAGAAAAGACCUUUACACCCCGAAGGGCUUCUUCGGUCACGCGGCGUCGCUGCAUCAGGGUUUCCCCCAUUGUGCAAAAUUCCUCA